AACAUCGGUUCCCGUACGAGCAUCGAAGUUAAGCAAUGUCGAAGCUGGUCAGUACUUAGAUGGAUGACUGCUUGGGAAUACCAGGUGCUGUAA